GGGUUGUGAGGUUAAGCGACUAAGCGUACACGGUGGAUGCCCUGGCAGUCAGAGGCGAUGAAGGACGUGCUAAUCUGCGAUAAGCGUCGGUAAGGUGAUAUGAACCGUUAUAACCGGCGAUUUCCGAAUGGGGAAACCCAGUGUGUUUCGACACACUAUCAUUAACUGAAUCCAUAGGUUAAUGAGGCGAACCGGGGGAACUGAAACAUCUAAGUACCCCGAGGAAAAGAAAUCAACCGAGAUUCCCCCAGUAGCGGCGAGCGAACGGGGAGCAGCCCAGAGCCUGAAUCAGUGUGUGUGUUAGUGGAAGCGUCUGGAAAGGCGCGCGAUACAGGGUGACAGCCCCGUACACAAAAAUGCACAUACUGUGAGCUCGAUGAGUAGGGCGGGACACGUGGUAUCCUGUCUGAAUAUGGGGGGACCAUCCUCCAAGGCUAAAUACUCCUGACUGACCGAUAGUGAACCAGUACCGUGAGGGAAAGGCGAAAAGAACCCCGGCGAGGGGAGUGAAAAAGAACCUGAAACCGUGUACGUACAAGCAGUGGGAGCACGCUUCGGCGUGUGACUGCGUACCUUUUGUAUAAUGGGUCAGCGACUUAUAUUCUGUAGCAAGGUUAACCGAAUAGGGGAGCCGAAGGGAAACCGAGUCUUAACUGGGCGUUAAGUUGCAGGGUAUAGACCCGAAACCCGGUGAUCUAGCCAUGGGCAGGUUGAAGGUUGGGUAACACUAACUGGAGGACCGAACCGACUAAUGUUGAAAAAUUAGCGGAUGACUUGUGGCUGGGGGUGAAAGGCCAAUCAAACCGGGAGAUAGCUGGUUCUCCCCGAAAGCUAUUUAGGUAGCGCCUCGUGAAUUCAUCUCCGGGGGUAGAGCACUGUUUCGGCAAGGGGGUCAUCCCGACUUACCAACCCGAUGCAAACUGCGAAUACCGGAGAAUGUUAUCACGGGAGACACACGGCGGGUGCUAACGUCCGUCGUGAAGAGGGAAACAACCCAGACCGCCAGCUAAGGUCCCAAAGUCAUGGUUAAGUGGGAAACGAUGUGGGAAGGCCCAGACAGCCAGGAUGUUGGCUUAGAAGCAGCCAUCAUUUAAAGAAAGCGUAAUAGCUCACUGGUCGAGUCGGCCUGCGCGGAAGAUGUAACGGGGCUAAACCAUGCACCGAAGCUGCGGCAGCGACACUAUGUGUUGUUGGGUAGGGGAGCGUUCUGUAAGCCUGUGAAGGUGUACUGUGAGGUAUGCUGGAGGUAUCAGAAGUGCGAAUGCUGACAUAAGUAACGAUAAAGCGGGUGAAAAGCCCGCUCGCCGGAAGACCAAGGGUUCCUGUCCAACGUUAAUCGGGGCAGGGUGAGUCGACCCCUAAGGCGAGGCCGAAAGGCGUAGUCGAUGGGAAACAGGUUAAUAUUCCUGUACUUGGUGUUACUGCGAAGGGGGGACGGAGAAGGCUAUGUUGGCCGGGCGACGGUUGUCCCGGUUUAAGCGUGUAGGCUGGUUUUCCAGGCAAAUCCGGAAAAUCAAGGCUGAGGCGUGAUGACGAGGCACUACGGUGCUGAAGCAACAAAUGCCCUGCUUCCAGGAAAAGCCUCUAAGCAUCAGGUAACAUCAAAUCGUACCCCAAACCGACACAGGUGGUCAGGUAGAGAAUACCAAGGCGCUUGAGAGAACUCGGGUGAAGGAACUAGGCAAAAUGGUGCCGUAACUUCGGGAGAAGGCACGCUGAUAUGUAGGUGAAGUCCCUCGCGGAUGGAGCUGAAAUCAGUCGAAGAUACCAGCUGGCUGCAACUGUUUAUUAAAAACACAGCACUGUGCAAACACGAAAGUGGACGUAUACGGUGUGACGCCUGCCCGGUGCCGGAAGGUUAAUUGAUGGGGUCAGCGGUAACGCGAAGCUCUUGAUCGAAGCCCCGGUAAACGGCGGCCGUAACUAUAACGGUCCUAAGGUAGCGAAAUUCCUUGUCGGGUAAGUUCCGACCUGCACGAAUGGCGUAAUGAUGGCCAGGCUGUCUCCACCCGAGACUCAGUGAAAUUGAACUCGCUGUGAAGAUGCAGUGUACCCGCGGCAAGACGGAAAGACCCCGUGAACCUUUACUAUAGCUUGACACUGAACAUUGAGCCUUGAUGUGUAGGAUAGGUGGGAGGCUUUGAAGUGUGGACGCCAGUCUGCAUGGAGCCGACCUUGAAAUACCACCCUUUAAUGUUUGAUGUUCUAACGUUGACCCGUUAUCCGGGUUGCGGACAGUGUCUGGUGGGUAGUUUGACUGGGGCGGUCUCCUCCUAAAGAGUAACGGAGGAGCACGAAGGUUGGCUAAUCCUGGUCGGACAUCAGGAGGUUAGUGCAAUGGCAUAAGCCAGCUUGACUGCGAGCGUGACGGCGCGAGCAGGUGCGAAAGCAGGUCAUAGUGAUCCGGUGGUUCUGAAUGGAAGGGCCAUCGCUCAACGGAUAAAAGGUACUCCGGGGAUAACAGGCUGAUACCGCCCAAGAGUUCAUAUCGACGGCGGUGUUUGGCACCUCGAUGUCGGCUCAUCACAUCCUGGGGCUGAAGUAGGUCCCAAGGGUAUGGCUGUUCGCCAUUUAAAGUGGUACGCGAGCUGGGUUUAGAACGUCGUGAGACAGUUCGGUCCCUAUCUGCCGUGGGCGCUGGAGAACUGAGGGGGGCUGCUCCUAGUACGAGAGGACCGGAGUGGACGCAUCACUGGUGUUCGGGUUGUCAUGCCAAUGGCACUGCCCGGUAGCUAAAUGCGGAAGAGAUAAGUGCUGAAAGCAUCUAAGCACGAAACUUGCCCCGAGAUGAGUUCUCCCUGACUCCUUGAGAGUCCUGAAGGAACGUUGAAGACGACGACGUUGAUAGGCCGGGUGUGUAAGCGCAGCGAUGCGUUGAGCUAACCGGUACUAAUGAACCGUGAGGCUUAACCUUACAACGCCGAAGCUGUU
rnacentral:rRNA from 1 species